CCUACGGGAGGCAGCAGUGGGGAAUAUUGCACAAUGGGGGAAACCCUGAUGCAGCGACGCCGCGUGAGUGAAGAAGUAUUUCGGUAUGUAAAGCUCUAUCAGCAGGGAAGAAAUAGCGACCUUUGGGUCGCCAGACGGUACCUGACUAAGAAUCCCCGGCUAACUACGUGCCAGCAGCCGCGGUAAUACGUAGGGGGCAAGCGUUAUCCGGAUUUACUGGGUGUAAAGGGAGCGUAGACGGCAGCACAAGUCUGAAGUGAAAUGCCGGGGCUUAACCCCGGAACUGCUUUGGAAACUGUGCAGCUAGAGGGCAGGAGGGGGAAGUGGAAUUCCUGGUGUAGCGGUGAAAUGCGUAGAUAUUAGGAGGAACACCAGUGGCGAAGGCGGCUUACUGGACUGUAACUGACGUUGAGGCUCGAAAGCGUGGGGAGCAAACAGGAUUAGAUACCCCAGUAGUC
rnacentral:rRNA from 1 species